rnacentral:rRNA from 1 species
AUGACCAUCUCGCAGUGCGAGGUGUGGGGAAACAGAUCGACGGCCAUGGCCCUCUUGGGGACAAAGGGCUCCGAGUUGGGCAUCGACUUGGUCCUCUGCCUCGCGAGGCCGGCGCUGCUCAUGUUUCGCCAUCCGCGGUGGCCCUUGUUCUUUUCCCUAUGCUCGGUUGAUGGGGUGCAGAGCUCGAUCGCGUUGGCAACUAGAGUGUCUGGAUUACAGGAAAUGUACCUGGUAAAUUGA